AGGGUUGUGGCUCAGUGGUGCAGUGCUCACCUAGCAAGCGUGAGGCAGCACUGGGUUCGAUCCUCAGCAUCACAU
rnacentral:tRNA from 1 species